rnacentral:tRNA from 1 species
GCCUAGGUGGCGAAAUUGGUAUACGCGCUUGGUUCAGAUCCAAGUGGUCAAUAGACUGUGCAAGUUCAAAUCUUGUCCUAGGCA